GCGGUUUUUUAAGUCUGAUGUGAAAGCCUUCGGCUUAACCGGAGAAGUGCAUCGGAAACUGGGAGACUUGAGUGCAGAAGAGGACAGUGGAACUCCAUGUGUAGCGGUGGAAUGCGUAGAUAUAUGGAAGAACACCAGUGGCGAAGGCGGCUGUCUAGUCUGUAACUGACGCUGAGGCUCGAAAGCAUGGGUAGCGAACAGGAUUAGAUACCCUGGUAGUCCAUGCCGUAAACGAUGAGUGCUAAGUGUUGGAGGGUUUCCGCCCUUCAGUGCUGCAGCUAACGCAUUAAGCACUCCGCCUGGGGAGUACGACCGCAAGGUUGAAACUCAAAGGAAUUGACGGGGGCCCGCACAAGCGGUGGAGCAUGUGGUUUAAUUCGAAGCUACGCGAAGAACCUUACCAGGUCUUGACAUCUUCUGCCAAUCUUAGAGAUAAGACGUUCCCUUCGGGGACAGAAUGACAGGUGGUGCAUGGUUGUCGUCAGCUCGUGUCGUGAGAUGUUGGGUUAAGUCCCGCAACGAGCGCAACCCUUAUUAUCAGUUGCCAGCAUUCAGUUGGGCACUCUGGUGAGACUGCCGGUGACAAACCGGAGGAAGGUGGGGAUGACGUCAAAUCAUCAUGCCCCUUAUGACCUGGGCUACACACGUGCUACAAUGGACGGUACAACGAGUUGCGAAGUCGUGAGGCUAAGCUAAUCUCUUAAAGCCGUUCUCAGUUCGGAUUGUAGGCUGCAACUCGCCUACAUGAAGUUGGAAUCGCUAGUAAUCGCGGAUCAGCAUGCCGCGGUGAA
rnacentral:rRNA from 1 species